AUGGAGCUGCUGUGGCUCCUCCUGCCCCUGUUUCUGGUCUGGGCUCAGGCCGAGAGCCUGAGGGAGGUCAAGGUGCAGCUGGAGGAAAACGUCUCCUUGACCUGUUCUGAGAAUAUUCCAGACAUCCACUGGUACAUGGAGAUCCACAGCCAGCUCAGAGCCUGCAUCCUCCGCAGUUUUUCUGGAUCAGAUAUCAUCUACUGUUCUCCUACUUUUAAAACCAAAUAUUUCCUCCAGAACAACAGGCUGGUGAUAAGAAAUGUCACAGCAGACGACUGCAGACUUUACUUCUGUGGCAGGAAAACAAACGACAACAUUGUUUUUGUGGACAGUAUCCGUCUCGUCUCAGACGUUCCCUUCACUCCGUCCUCCAACAGCUCUGAGCUGAACAUCCAGCAGCCCAACUGCAGCAAAGCACAGCCUGAGUUGGUCGUAUUCAGCGUCACCGCCCUGAACAUCAUCUUCAGCUUAGUUACAACAGGUUUGAUUUGUGCCCUGCUGUGGCUGAAGAAGAAGAAGAAGCACCAGCACCUGCACCUGCACCAGCACCAGCAGCACCUGCAGCAGCAGCAGCAGCAGUAUGACCACCAGGGGAACGGCCGCACACUUGUCCUCUAUGAGAACAACCAGAGACCGGAGGUACCACAGUACGCAGAGGUCCAGUUCCCCACCCACCCUGUGCCUCCAUCUGCUGCUUCUUCAGAUGGGAUCUACUACAAAGCUCAGAUGCCUCAGUCCAUCCUGCCAGGACACUGAGGGAGGCUGGACCCAGCACACCUGGACGGUCAAAGGUCCAGAGACAUCGACGUGAAUGCAGACUCAGCAGGUUUAAAGCUGGACUUCUCCAAACUGUCAGCUGCUGCUUUAGGCCCGCACAGUUGUGGUUUGACCACACAGACAGACUGAGUAUCCAAACUACUUCCUGUACAUGCAUCCCCCAUUGCACCUCAUGUCCUCCCCCAAAACCAGACCCGAGGCCAGACCCAGUGAGCCUUUGUCCUGAGGCAGGUUUUCACUCUUCUCAGUCUUUAUCAGUGUUAAAGCUCAGGACUCAAAAACUGAAGAAAGACACUUGACUGAAAUCAGCAUCUUCAUUUAAAAGGCUAAUUUGUGUAGAAAUACUGCAGUGCAGUAGAAAGUGUAGUAUUUAUUUCCCUGUACCUCAGAGAUGUAAAAAUGACCGAGCUGAAACAAAAACCUCAAACUGCUCCUGUUUCGCUCUGAUACUGGGUGUGUGAUGUUCUGCAAUACUGAGUGGAUCCACUUGGAGGCGCUGUGGUUUUAAAUGUAAUCUGUGUUACUUGAGCUAAUCAUCUGAGUUUAUUGAUCUGAAAUUUACAGAUUAACUGUAAACUAGUUUCAGUUGUUUCUACUGAAUCUGUUUUACAGGCAGAGCAAAAUAAAACGCUUCAUUAAAUAUUGAUGCAAAAACUGAAUUAAAUUCAGGAUUAAAUCCAGAAUAAAAACACACCUGUUCUGUGCAAAUUCAGUAAAAAAUAAAUAAUAGAAAUGAAAUAAAAAGUCAUAGGUCAUUUCAGUUACAGGAAGUCAGAAACUUUUAUUCCUAGUAACAAAGGAAGUUUAGGAUUUCAAAGUAAAAGGAGAGUUUGAAGUGUAAACCUUUCAUUGUUACAGCAUGGACUGAAAAAUAAUUACAACUAAAAUAAUAAAUAAAUAAAAACAUUUUUCUCAAAAUACUUUUGCAGUCCAGGUGUAAAAAGAAAAAUCAGUAAAAAAUAUAUCAGCUUUAAUAUUAUUGUCCCCACAAAACAAAAUAAAACAUGUAGAUGUGCUGCGUCCUGCCAUCUCUGUCCAACACGACCUGAACUUUCUGCAAAAAUUCGUGUUUUCUGAUUAAAGAGCUGAUCACUG
ensembl:lncRNA uncharacterized LOC113127611